CAAAAGUCAUAGCUGAAGUUGAGCAAAUGACCCAGAAACCCAAAGCCUGGAGAGAGUGUCGUCCACAUUAGAAAAGGAGUCCACUGAAGUUGCUGCUCUUCUGUCACAGGCCAAGAAAAUGGGCUUUAUUGUACAUAGAGAAAUCGGUGCCGACAAAACUACUCACUACAAAUGGUUAAAAUCCUCGCUCUGAGAAAAAAUAGUAAGUGACUGAAGUAAAGGGUACUGCCACGCCCCAGCGCCAGGAUAACAAUGAUGAUUUUGCUCUGAAGUCUUCUUUCAUAUUAACGACAAGUGAUCAAUCUGUGUAUGUUGGACUUGAACGCAACAAAACUAUUAUAUUCAUUUGCUCUAAUAAGUCAUGCGCAACGUCAUAAAACGUUUAGAGCAAUGCAGCUCAUGCAAACGCGUCAGGAACUCACGCAGAACACAAUUACAGGAAGAAAUUCAAUAUGCGGCAAUGGUAUAGUGGGAAUAUGUUCUCGUCGCUACUGUUCAGAAUAGCCCAAACAUGCAACAUUAGCAGAAACUAAAAAUUGAAAUUUGAAAUACAAUUUCUUCAGCGAUGGAUUAUUUAAACGCAAAUGAUUUCGCAAAAGGAUUUAUACUACUAAUUACACACUGACGUACACCUUUCAUGACUAUCAAAUAUUGUAGAUAUGGCGUAACGAAACUUCUGGGAAAAUAUGGUGCUUAACCCUACGCAACUUAUGUGCAAUUGUGAUUUUUUUCCGAAGCCAUUGAAAACUAAAAGUACUAACAUUUUUAUAGUAAAUAUAUACGAAAUAUUUUCGUACUAGCAAAGUAUAAAUUCGGAUUAUAGCAAUAAAAUAAAACAAAGGACUAACAGUCUUAUUCACAAACAUUUAAAAGAGCUCUAUAAACCGAAAAUAGGAUAAAAUGUUGUUUUUUGUAUUCACAAACACAUAAUAGCCUAUUUUACCCUUAAUAAACCAAUUUUAAAUUUGAAAA
rnacentral:sRNA from 1 species